rnacentral:rRNA from 1 species
CCUACGGGUGGCAGCAGUGAGGAAUAUUGGUCAAUGGGCGAGAGCCUGAACCAGCCAAGUCGCGUGAGGGAAGACGGUCCUAUGGAUUGUAAACCUCUUUUGUCGGGGAGCAAAAAGGCCUCGUGAGGCCACAAGUGAGAGUACCCGAAGAAAAAGCCUCGGCUAACUCCGUGCCAGCAGCCACGGUAAUACGGAGGAUGCGAGCGUGAUCCGGUUUAAUUGGGUUAAAAGGGUGCGUAGGCGGAUUUUUAAGUCAACGUUAAACUGUCCGGGCUCAACCCGGGCCGGCCGUUGAAACUGGGGCUCUUGAGUGGGCGAGAAGUAUGCGGAAUGCGUGGUGUAGCGGUGAAAUGCAUAGAUAUCACGCAGAACUCCGAUUGCGAAGGCAGCAUACCGGCGCCCGACUGACGCUGAGGCACGAAAGCGUGGGGAUCGAACAGGAUUAGAUACCCGAGUAGUC